UAGGGAAUCUUCCGCAAUGGACGAAAGUCUGACGGAGCAACGCCGCGUGAGUGAAGAAGGAUUUCGGUUCGUAAAACUCUGUUGUUAGGGAAGAAAAAAUGUAUAGUAACUAUAUACAAAAGAGACGGUACCUAACCAGAAAGCCACGGCUAACUACGUGCCAGCAGCCGCGGUAAUACGUAGGUGGCAAGCGUUGUCCGGAAUUAUUGGGCGUAAAGCGCGCGCAGGUGGUUUAGAAAGUCUGAUGUGAAAGCCCACGGCUCAACCGUGGAGGGUCAUUGGAAACUAAUAAACUUGAGUGCAGGAGAGAAAAGUGGAAUUCCUAGUGUAGCGGUGAAAUGCGUAGAGAUUAGGAAGAACACCGGUGGCGAAAGCAGCUUUUUGGCCUGCAACUGACACUGAGGCGCGAAAGCGUGGGGAGCAAACAGG
rnacentral:rRNA from 1 species